GUUAGAGUGUAGAGGUGGUAGGGUAGCCUAGUGGUUAGAGUGUAGAGGUGGCAGGGUAGCCUAGUGGUUAGAGUGGAGAGGUGGUAGGGUAGCCUAGUGGUUAGAGUGUAGAGGUGGCAGGGUAGCCUAGUGGUUAGAGUGUAGAGGUGGCAGGGUAGCCUAGUGGUUAGAGUGUAGAGGGUGGCAGGGUAGCCUAGUGGUUAGAGUGUAGAGGUGGUAGGGUAGCCUAGUGGUUAGAGUGUAGAGGUGGCAGGGUAGCCUAGUGGUUAGAGU